GCCCGGGUAGCUCAGCGGUAGAGCAGCCGCCUUGUAAGCGGCCGGUCGGGGGUUCGAUUCCCUUCCCGGGCUCCG
rnacentral:tRNA from 1 species